GACGAACGCUGGCGGCGUGCUUAACACAUGCAAGUCGAACGAUGAACCGGUUUCGGCCGGGGAUUAGUGGCGAACGGGUGAGUAACACGUGGGCAAUCCGCCCUGCACUCUGGGAUAAGCCCGGGAAACUGGGUCUAAUACCGGAUACGACACUCCGAGGCAUCUUGGGGUGUGGAAAGUUCCGGCGGUGCAGGAUGAGCCCGCGGCCUAUCAGCUUGUUGGUGGGGUAAUGGCCUACCAAGGCGACGACGGGUAGCCGGCCUGAGAGGGUGACCGGCCACACUGGGACUGAGACACGGCCCAGACUCCUACGGGAGGCAGCAGUGGGGAAUAUUGCACAAUGGGCGAAAGCCUGAUGCAGCGACGCCGCGUGAGGGAUGACGGCCUUCGGGUUGUAAACCUCUUUCAGCAGGGAAGAAGCGAAAGUGACGGUACCUGCAGAAGAAGCACCGGCUAACUACGUG
rnacentral:rRNA from 1 species